ensembl:lncRNA
CUCAUUUACAGCCUGGCCCAUAGCUCCUUGGCUGUGGGAACACUUUCUCAGUUUGCCUAGCUAGCACAUGACUCAGGUAGGUGCACAUACAGAUUUCACACACAUAUUUCUUUCAUGUAGGCACAAGUAGGUUCCUGCUUUGAAACACUGAAUCCACAAAGUGUUUGCUGGCAAACAGCUAUGCAUUCAUUUUAUUUUUACAUGCUGUGAUGUGCGCAAAAACCUGGACAGCUUCAAACAAGGAAAAGAAAAACAAUGCUUCCAUAGUUUCAAAAAUAAUCCACAAUGCAACCUCCAGAUUAUGAAGAUCUUCAGGCAUUCUUGACAUCUCCAUUACCCUGCCAGCACCAGUGAGCAAUGAUUCCUGAAUGUUGACUUUAAAGCCAAUAGAUUCCCUCAGUGCUGAGGAUAGGGUGAAUUCCCCAAAGGGAUAAAGCAGGUUGCCAGACCCCCACCAGCAAUGCCUUUUGCAAUGUAUCAUAGAACCAUAAAAUCACAAAAUGGCUUAUGUUGGAAGGAACCUUAAAUAUCAUCUAAUUCCAAUCCUCCUGUCGUGGGCAGGGUUGCCCAGGAGCCUGGCCUUGAAUGCCUCCAGAGAUGGUAUGACACCUGUUAAGUGAGAGAUGUCCCCCCCAUGCAAUGGGGACAUUGCACCAUGGCUAGAGCCUGCUCUGCUUCAUCCCAGCAUGCUUAUGCAUAGGAGGGGCUGCUGUAGAGGAAUGCAUAGGGUUAGUCCAGGCACGUACCUCAGACUUACUUAAACUUGGCUCUGCUACGAUGUUUAGAAUCACUGGAGAAACUGGACUCCCUUCCAGCUCUCAUUACUUGUCAGGUUUCCAGCACUGGACUUCCAACACUGGACCUCCUUCCCAUCUAGAUCCAUCUGCUGAGCUGGUUGGUGUCAGGGCAACAAGAUAGGAACAUCAUUAUUUUAUCCAGACCUGAUUUAGCCUAACCUCUGUCAUCUGAAAUAUGUUCAAGGAUCACAACCCUGUUUCCAAUCUAAAGGAACUUGAGAUGAGCUGGCUUUGAGUGAUUGCUGUUACACUGGCAAUGCAAAAGGAACAACUGCAGUAGUAGACGGAUUCUAGUAUCUCCCCAAAGUUCAGGAAUAAUUACCUCUGCUAUAGAGUAGCACAGACAGUCGCAACUACAGAAAGAAUCUCCAUACCUCCACCUUCUCUUCCUGGCAGCUGCAUUCCCUGCACUGCUGUCUGAGCAGUGAGUCUGUAUACGUGGCCUUGCAAUGUUUUUGCUGUCAGGAGGCCAAUUUAUUUACAUAAGAUGUGAACGCUGACCUCUGCCUGAAAACAGGAGGUGAAAACACUACAAUAAGGCAUACUCCAGCAUGUCCCUCUGUUCAAAGCUCAGCCUGAAGUACAUGCUUAGCACCAUGCUCACAACCAUCUUGGUGUUGCUUUUCCUAUAUUUUUUUUCUACCUGAAUGCAAGCAUGGACAACAAGCCCAUUCCCCUUGCUUGGGCACGCAACUGCACCGCACACUGUGACUGCAAGACCUGACCAUUCAACAGCUGCACACCUGACCAAAUACUGUUCCUGUCCUCCUCUGUUCCUGGCCCUGCUGCAUGAUCCUGUAUUCCGGGAGCCGCUCUUGCAGAUGUGUAACGUCAGCUGGGGUGCCAAGAGAGAAGUCUCAAGGCAUCUUUUCUUCCCCCUGCCUUAGAUCACAGCCAGAAAGUGUUCUUGGGGCUCACAAAGACUUGGAUACACCAGGACAAUUUGGAGCCUGCACAUCUCAGGAUAGAGAAGCAAUACAUCAGCUACCAAUCUUGCUGUCGCAAGGCUGGAAGACAACCUGGGGACUGUCUGCCUUGGGCCUGUACCUUAGCAUCCCAUACACUAUCUCCUAGUUUUUCUUUCCAAGAUUCAAAUGGCACGUGUGUCCUCUUACAGCUCCAAAGUGGACCAGGAGAAAGAGGCAACGAACACCACCAUAAAGCCUCUUUGAUACCAGGGACCUAUAUAUAGGAGAAAUAUGGGAAAUUCUAUUAUUUACCUCUGUUGUAAUGGGAAAUGAAAACAGCUGAUGCUAGCAGGGCUCUCAGCCACAGACAGAGCACUUGUCAGUACACAGGAACCCCGCAGGACAACCAGACACCCUCAGAAAGCAAAGUGAAGCACACAGUGUGCUGAAAAAGAUUGGUGAGGCACUAAACAUUUCCUUUCCCUUCUGUAUUAUCUUCUUGUAAGAGGACAAAAAAACUAUUUGAUCUUUUUCUUCUGGUAAAUUUUAUGAAAUUACUUAAAAAAUACUGUGUGACACAUUUCCAUUAGCAGCAGCCCUGGUUCUUUAGUAAUUAAUAAAGGAAAUAUAUGAAAAAAAAUUGGCUAGAGCUAAUUCUUUGGGAAACAGAAAUGCCUGAUUUGAUAUCUUGGCCUGGUCACUGGACAAAAAAAAACCCAACAGGGCACUGUACCUAAAUUAGGCAGCAAGGGGAAAAGGGUGUGCUACAGCCCAGUCUGCUCUGGGGUUUAGGUGCCCUGUUCAGGUUCAGCAGGACAUGCUUCUUCUCACUCUGGAUUCACAGCUCUGAAAACUUAAUUAUAGUUUUUCACCUUGCAUUAAUUAACAUGAGAAGCGGAGACACCUCUCUUCACGCUACUCUUCCU